rnacentral:tRNA from 4 species
GGAGGGGUUCCCGAGUGGCCAAAGGGAGCAGACUGUAAAUCUGCCGGCUCCGCCUUCGAUGGUUCGAAUC